AUGUGUGAGUGCAUCUCCAUCCAUGUUGGCCAGGCUGGUGUCAGAUCAGCAAUGCCUACUAGGAGCUCUACUGCCUGGAACAUGGCAUCCAGCCCGUGGCCAGAUGUCAAGUAACAAGACCGUUGGGGGAGGAGAUGACUCCUUAAACACCUUUUUCAGUGAGACAGGAACUGGAAAGCAUGUGACCCGGGAAGUGUUCGUAGACCUGGAACCCACAGUUAUUGAUGAAGUUCGCACUGGCACCUACCGCCAGCUCUUCUACCCUGAGUAGCUCAUCACAGGAGAGGAGGAUGCUGCCAAUAACUGUGCCCAUGGCCACUAUACCAUUGGCAAGAUCAUUGAUCUUGUCUUGGACAGGAUUUGCAAGCUGGCCGACCAGUGCACGGGUCUCCAGGCCUUCUUGGUUUUCCACAGCUUUGGUGGGGGAGCUGGCUCUGGGUUCACCUCCCUGCUGAUGGAGCAGCUCUCUGUUGAUUAUGGAAAGAAGUCCAAGCUGGAGUUCUCCAUUUACCCAGCCACCCAGGUUUCCACUGCUGUGGUUGAGCCCUACAAUUCUAUCCACACCACCCACACCACCCACACCACCCUGGAGCACUCUGAUUGUUGCCUUCAUGGUAGACAGUGAGGCCAUUUAUGACAUCUGUCGUAGAAACCUCGACAUUGAGUGCCCAACCUUACCUUAACCUAUACUAACCUUAACUGUCUUAUUAGCCAGAUUGUGUCUUCCAUCACUGUUUCCCUCAGAUUUGAUGGGGCCCUGAAUGUUGAUCUGACAGAAUUCCAGACCAACCUGGUACCUACCCUCGAAUCCACUUCCCUCUGGCCACUUAUGCCCCUAUCAUCUCUCCUGAGAAAGCCUACCAUGAGCAGCUUUCUGUAGCAGAGAUCACCAAUGCCUGCUUUGAGCCGGCCAACCAGAUGGUGAAAUGUGACGCUCACCUUGGUAAAUAUAUGACUUGCUGCCUGCUGUACCGUGGUGAUGUGGUUCCCAAAGAUGUCAAUGCUGCCAUUGCCACCAUCAAGACUAAGUGCAGCAUCCAGUUUGUAGACUGGUGCCCCACUGGCUUCAAGGUUAGCAUUAAUUGCCAGCCUCCCACUGUGGUACCCAGUGAUAACCUGGCCAAGGUCCAGAGAGCUGUGUGUAUGCUGAGCAACACCACAGCCAUUGCUGAGGCCUGGGCUCACCUAGAUCACAAGUUUGAUCUGAUGGAUGCCAAGCAUGCCUUUGUACACUGGUAUGUGGGUGAGGGCAUGGAGAAGGGUGAGUUCUUUGAGGCCUGUGAGGACAUGGCUGCCCUAGAGAAGGAUUAUGAGGAGGUUGGUGUGGAUUCUGUGGAAGGUAAAGGUGAGGAAGAAGGAGAGGAAUACUAAGUCCAUUUCUCUAGCUCCUGUGUCAUGUCAAACUCCAGCUCUAGAAUUAGCUGCAGGCAUUGAUGCUUCUGUGUUGUUUCCAUUCUGUGAUCAUGUCUUCUCCAUGUGUACCUCUUAUGUUUUCCAUGAUGUCUCAAAGUAAAAGCUUUAAG